rnacentral:lncRNA from 1 species
GAGAGAGUGAGAGAAAGGUGAGAAAAGAAGAUGCGGUCUGUGAAAUCAAUCCAGAGGGUGGGAGUGUUAAGUCGGUUGCAUGAUCAAUAGGGCGAUCAAUUGAUUCGAUUCUGAGAGAGAGAAGAGAAGAGAGAAGGGUGAGAAUUGGUCGUUGCAUCAAAGAAGAGAAAACACAAGAUAGAAUUGAUCUGUCUUUAUUGAAAAUUAGCUAGCCGUUUGGGUUUUUAUCUCAGUUUUAUUCUUAAUUUGGCUUUCUAGGGUUUUCGCUUCUGAUACUUUCCCUGUU